AACGUAGGUCACAAGCGUUGUCCGGAAUUACUGGGUGUAAAGGGAGCGCAGGCGGGAAGACAAGUUGGAAGUGAAAUCUAUGGGCUCAACCCAUAAACUGCUUUCAAAACUGUUUUUCUUGAGUAGUGCAGAGGUAGGCGGAAUUCCCGGUGUAGCGGUGGAAUGCGUAGAUAUCGGGAGGAACACCAGUGGCGAAUGCGGCCUACUGGGCACCAACUGACGCUGAGGCUCGAAAGUGUGGGUAGCAAACAGG
rnacentral:rRNA from 1 species